AGAACGAACGCUGGCGGCAUGCCUAACACAUGCAAGUCGAACGCCUGUAGCAAUACAGGAGUGGCGCACGGGUGAGUAACGCGUGGGAACCUGCCCUGGAGUGGGGGAUAACCGAGGGAAACUUCGGCUAAUACCGCAUACGACCUGAGGGUGAAAGAUUUAUCGCUCUAGGAGGGGCCCGCGUCGGAUUAGCUAGUUGGUGGGGUAACGGCCUACCAAGGCUACGAUCCGUAGCUGGUCUGAGAGGAUGACCAGCCACACUGGGACUGAGACACGGCCCAGACUCCUACGGGAGGCAGCAGUGGGGAAUAUUGGACAAUGGGGGAAACCCUGAUCCAGCAAUGCCGCGUGAGUGAUGAAGGCCUUAGGGUUGUAAAGCUCGUUUCGGCGGGGACGAUGAUGACGGUACCCGCAGAAGAACGCCCCGGCUAACUUCGUGCCAGCAGCCGC
rnacentral:rRNA from 1 species